rnacentral:misc_RNA from 1 species
GUGAAUCAUCGAAUUUUUGAACGCAAAUUGCACUCCCUGGCAUUCCUGAGAGUAUGCCUGUUUUAGGGUGAGUGUAAAUAAAAAUCGAGGUGUUGCUGUUUUGUGACCCAUCGGAAUUGGGUUAUCUUCGACCGUUUAAAAAGUGUAAGUGACCUAAAAUUGAUACCUUGUGCAUCUCAGACGUACAUAAGAAUAUUUUUGUAUCCGUCCGGAGUUGCCAACUUUUGAUUAGGUAUGACCAGGCUGCAUGUGGCAUCGUACCUAUACAAUAGUCAUAUUU